GUUUCUGUAGUGUAGCGGUUAUCACGUUCGCCUCACACGCGAAAGGUCCCCGGUUCGAUCCCGGGCGGAAACA